rnacentral:rRNA from 1 species
UGGGGAAUAUUGGACAAUGGGCGAAAGCCUGAUCCAGCCAUGCCGCGUGUGUGAAGAAGGUCUUCGGAUUGUAAAGCACUUUAAGUUGGGAGGAAGGGCAUUAACCUAAUACGUUAGUGUUUUGACGUUACCGACAGAAUAAGCACCGGCUAACUCUGUGCCAGCAGCCGCGGUAAUACAGAGGGUGCAAGCGUUAAUCGGAAUUACUGGGCGUAAAGCGCGCGUAGGUGGUUUGUUAAGUUGGAUGUGAAAGCCCCGGGCUCAACCUGGGAACUGCAUCCAGAACUGGCAAGCUAGAGUACGGUAGAGGGUGGUGGAAUUUCCUGUGUAGCGGUGAAAUGCGUAGAUAUAGGAAGGAACACCAGUGGCGAAGGCGACCACCUGGACUGAUACUGACACUGAGGUGCGAAAGCGUGGGGAGCAAACA